rnacentral:rRNA from 1 species
CAACUGUGUGAAUUAAUGUGAACUGCAUACUGCUUUGAACAUCGACAUCUUGAACGCAUAUUGCGGCCAUGGGUUAGCCUGUGGCCACGCCUGUCCGAGGGUCGGCUUAUAAACUAUCACGACGCCCAUAAAGUCGUGGCUUGGGUCUUGCCAGCUGGCGUGAUUUCCUCAUCAAUUUGGUGAGGUGCCAGAUCUAUGGCUUUUCCCUAAUGUGUCCG